rnacentral:lncRNA from 1 species
UCAUAUAGAUCUAGUACAAAUGUAUCCAACAAAAUCAGAAAGCAGCAAAUCGUAAAGUACCAUAGGCAACUCUCUCUCCCUACUCCAUAAGGUACUUCCGGAGCGGUCGGCUACAUACGAGGCCAUCCAGUUCGUAGCCCCAUAGCCUCUCUAAAGACAUACCUAGUCUGGAACUCCACGCCCUCAGCCAUGUCCUAGAUAUCGUGCAACAGGAGGUGGUACCUAUGCACACCGCUGGUGCUCCCCGUAAUCCAGUUAUCACUGUAGCUGAGUCCCCCCUCAAGGAGGACUGUUCUAGCACCCAGGACAUGUCGGGCAUGGCUUAGCCCCAGACUGAGACCUCGAAAAUUUGGCGCCUCCCAGCAACAACUACUCUCGAGUCCCCACCUCCCCUCCUACCACCCUCACAAGGGUUAAGCUUUCAAUGGAUAAAGAUUCUGCUGCAACCACUCAGAAAAUAAAACCCAA